rfam:Arabis alpina cultivar Pajares scaff_71365_1_contig_5, whole genome shotgun sequence.
ACUCCAUGAUGAGGACAAGACCUAGUAUAGCCUUUCAAUCUUUCCCAAGCUUCGUAGAGUGCCUCAUUCGGACCUUGUUUGAAGCUUGUGAUGUCGUUUAUAAUCCG